UACUUAUUUGCUCCAUCAUUAUUUUAAUAAAUUAUGAUGCAAUUGAUUCAGACUUGAUUGAAUUUCUUAAAUGACAACAAGGAUAUUUCUAUAUUUUCUUUUGAAACUCUAGAUAUGCAUUUCUUAUUUCUCCCUCUCUCUCUCUCUCUAUCUAUCUAUAUUUUUUUUUAUUUAUCUUUAAAGCAGGUUAUUGCAGCUUUAAGAGUUGAUGCAUUCGUUAUAUUUGAACAUUAUGUUACAUAUAUUUUUUUUAAACAAUUAACUUUUUCAUAUACUUGCCAUAUGUUGUAACUCCUACUAAACUAAUUUGUCACUUCGACUGCUUAUGCGUUUAGUCAAUUAAAUUUUUUUUAUUACAAGUACAUAACAAUAUGCUUAUCUUAAACAUAAUAUAAUUGUAAUAUGCAACUGUAUGCUUACAAUAGCAUGUUUUCCUUCAUGGUACCUACAUGUUGAGUCUCUCUUCUCUAUUUAGUUAAUAAAUUCAAUUUUUUUAAAAAUUAGUUAAAAAGAUCUUUCAAAUGCUAAUGCAUUACUUACUAUAUAAUGCUUAUUUUGUUGCACGGUACUUAGAAGUUUUUUUGUUAAGAACUUAGAAAUUUCAAAAUUUUUUUGUAGGCUCUAUUGUUUAUAGGCUCGUAGUAUAAUCUUAUAAAUAUCUUAAGUUCAAACUUAAUUCGCUUUAAUUUUUCUUUUAUUAUUCUUCUUUAGAGUUACGCUUAUUAUAUCCCAGGAACCAUUUUGAGACAGCCUUCUUUGAAUUUGUUUCUUUCCCUAUAAAUUCUUUUUUUAGAAGAUUAUUUAAACAUCUAUUCUCACUAUCUGACUAAUUUCCAUUGACUUAAUUUUUCAUUUCCUUUUCUCUUACCUUUUCCAUUGACUUGGCAUUCAAUUAAUUCUAUGAAUCAUAUUUAUGUAUGCAUUUCUGAUUAUUAUUUAUACUUUUCUUCAUAUAAAUUACAUAAAAUGGUUGUGUUUUUCGAAAUGGAUCGCUCGUUUGGAAUCCUGGCUUUGAUUUUGAUGAGAAGGUUUUAGGCUUUAUUAAAGGACUUUAGGCGUGUUUUUUAUCUUGGUAAGAUAGUUCCUAUAUAGUAAAGAACCACUUUUUGUCUACCAUAAAAUUGGCGUUAAUCUUUCUCACAGCAUUCAUAGACUGCACAGGUACAUCUGAACAUCCAACAACAUUCCUCACGUUAGAGCCCAAAGGAGCAAUUUCUGUCAUUUAAAUUUCAGUAUUUGGAUAGAAGGGAGUGCGAUUAUGAGAAGAAACUAUUGGUCAACUUUUACAAUGUUACUAAGAGUUCAGUUGCUGGCUCCUGCACAUAGGUUCUAAAGAACACUGCUUUUCAGUUUACAAAAUCAUCCUUUAUUUCUGAUGCCUCUUUGUGUUUUCUUCCACAUAAAGGAGAAAGUCCUAAGCCAUAUGUGAUUGAUGUACUAUUAUUCAUUUCCACUACAGAUGUAAUAGCUAUAUAUGAUCUUUGACCCGCUCCCUUGGAGGAAAUGACAAGGUUGGACUGUCAUCCCACCCAGGGAAUAAGUAAGUACUCAUGCCCUGUAGCUAAAUGUGGGAUCCUGUCACUUGGCAACACAUCUGUUUCAGCUUGUGAGACUUCUAUCUGUUCCUAUGAUGGCUACACAGCUAGCAGCAUUCUUACUUUACUCACCAACCAAUCUACAUGCAAUGGAACCAACGUCCCUUGGGACUGGGAUCGGAAUCAUCGCAAAACAAUGGCUCAGCUUUUAGGCUUGGAGUUG